GUUAAAUUUUUGGGAGGAUCGGCAGAUUGAGAGCUCUUUUUUUAUUCGGUGGAUGGUGGAGCAUGGCCGUUCUUAGUUGGUGGAGCUAGUUGCCUGGUUAAUUCCGAUAACGAACGAGACUCUAGACUAUUAAAUAGGUGCCUGGUUUGCAGCACAUUGCAUCCUUCUUAGAGGUACAAGCGGCUCCUAGCCGCACGAAACAAAGCAAUAACAGUUAUAUGAUGCCCUUAGAUGUC
rnacentral:rRNA from 1 species